rnacentral:rRNA from 1 species
GUGGGGAAUCUUGCGCAAUGGGCGAAAGCCUGACGCAGCCAUGCCGCGUGAAUGAUGAAGGUCUUAGGAUUGUAAAAUUCUUUCACCGGGGACGAUAAUGACGGUACCCGGAGAAGAAGCUCCGGCUAACUUCGUGCCAGCAGCCGCGGUAAUACGAAGGGGGCUAGCGUUGCUCGGAAUUACUGGGCGUAAAGGGCGCGUAGGCGGACAGCUUAGUCAGAGGUGAAAGCCCAGGGCUAAACCUUGGAAUUGCCUUUGAUACUGGCUGUCUUGAGUUUGGGAGAGGUGAGUGGAACUCCGAGUGUAGAGGUGAAAUUCGUAGAUAUUCGGAAGAACACCAGUGGCGAAGGCGACAUACUGGCUCAUUACUGACGCUGAGGCGCGAAAGCGUGGGGAGCAAACAGGAUUAGAAACCCUAGUAGUCC